UCGUAAAAAUGGUUGUGCUGUG
rnacentral:miRNA from 1 species